AUUGAACGCUGGCGGCAUGCCUUACACAUGCAAGUACGAACGGUAACGGGCCUUCGGGUGCCGACGAGUGGCGAACGGGUGAGUAAUGUAUCGGAACGUACCUUUCAGUGGGGGAUAACGUAGCGAAAGUUACGCUAAUACCGCAUAUUCUGUGCGCAGGAAAGCAGGGGAUCGCAAGACCUUGCGCUGAUUGAGCGGCCGAUAUCAGAUUAGCUAGUUGGUGAGGUAAAGGCUCACCAAGGCGACGAUCUGUAGCGGGUCUGAGAGGAUGAUCCGCCACACUGGAACUGAGACACGGUCCAGACUCCUACGGGAGGCAGCAGUGGGGAAUUUUGGACAAUGGGGGCAACCCUGAUCCAGCCAUGCCGCGUGAGUGAAGAAGGCCUUCGGGUUGUAAAGCUCUUUCGGCCGGGAAGAAAUCGUAUCAGCUAAUACCUGGUGCGGAUGACGGUACCGGCAUAAGAAGCACCGGCUAACUACGUG
rnacentral:rRNA from 1 species